rnacentral:rRNA from 1 species
GACGAACGCUGGCGGCGUGCCUAAUACAUGCAAGUAGAACGCACAGUUUAUACCGUAGCUUGCUACACCAUAGACUGUGAGUUGCGAACGGGUGAGUAACGCGUAGGUAACCUGCCUGGUAGCGGGGGAUAACUAUUGGAAACGAUAGCUAAUACCGCAUAAUAUUAAUUAUUGCAUGAUAAUUAAUUGAAAGGUGCAAUUGCACCACUACCAGAUGGACCUGCGUUGUAUUAGCUAGUAGGUGAGGUAACGGCUCACCUAGGCGACGAUACAUAGCCGACCUGAGAGGGUGAUCGGCCACACUGGGACUGAGACACGGCCCAGACUCCUACGGGAGGCAGCAGUAGGGAAGCUUCGGCAAUGGACGAAAGUCUGACCGAGCAACGCCGCGGGAGUGAAGAAGGUUUUCGGAUCGUAAAGCUCUGUUGUAAGAGAAGAACGGGUGUGAGAGUGGAAAGUUCACACUGUGACGGUAUCUUACCAGAAAGGGACGGCUAACUACGUG